rnacentral:rRNA from 1 species
AAACCAACCGGGAUUGCCUUAGUAACGUCGAGUGAAGCGGCAAAAGCUCAAAUUUGAAAUCUGGUUACCUUCGGUGCCCGAGUUGUAAUUUGGAGAGGGCAACUUUGGGGCCGUUCCUUGUCUAUGUUCCUUGGAACAGGACGUCAUAGAGGGUGAGAAUCCCGUGUGGCGAGGAGUGCGGUUCUUUGUAAAGUGCCUUCGAAGAGUCGAGUUGUUUGGGCAAUGCAGCUCUAAGUGGGUGGUAAAUUCCAUCUAAAGCUAAAUAUUGGCGAGAGACCGAUAGCGAACAAGUACAGUGAUGGAAAGAUGAAAAGAACUUUGAAAAGAGAGUGAAAAAGUACGUGAAAUUGUUGAAAGGGAAGGGCAUUUGAUCAGACAUGGUGUUUUGUGCCCUCUGCUCCUUGUGGGUGGGGGAAUCUCGCAUUUCACUGGGCCAGCAUCAGUUUUGGUGGCAGCGAUAAAUCCAUAGGAAUGUAGCUUGCCUCGGUAAGUAUUAUAGCCUGUGGGAAUACUGCCAGCUGGGACUGAGGACUGCGACGUAAGUCAAGGAUGCUGGCAUAAUGGUUAUAUUGCCGCCCGUCUUUGAAACACGGAC